GGUCUGAAACAAGCACCUAGAGCAUGUUAUAAAAGACUUAAUAAAUUUUUACUAAAAAAUAUUUUUUUCAGAGAAAAAAUAGAUACUACUCUUUUCAUAAAAAAAAAAACUUGAUGGUACUCUUGUUAUAUAAAAAUAUAUUAAUGAUAUCAUAUUUGGAUCUACUAAUGAAACUUUAUAUCAAAAUUUUGCCAAGCUCAUGCAGG
rnacentral:lncRNA from 1 species